ACCACUCCAUUACAGACAUUAUGAGCUGUCCUCCCCUCAGCAGCCUCCACUGCUACGGACGUGUGUGUGCAUCAAAUAACUGCUUUCAUGCAAAAGAGAGUGGGGUGUGACAGGUCUGGUGUCGUGGUAAAGGGGUGUGUGACAGGUCUGGUGUCGUGUGACAGGUCUGGUGUCGUGGUAAAGGGGUGUGUGACAGGUCUGGUGUCGUGUGACAGGUCUGGUGUCGUGGUAAAGGGGUGUGUGACAGGUCUGGUGUCGUGUGACAGGUCUGGUGUCGUGGUAAAGGGGUGUGUGACAGGUCUGGUGUCGUGGUAAAAGGGUGUGUGACAGUUCUGGUGUCGUGUGACAGGUCUGGUGUCGUGGUAAAGGGGUAUGUGACAGGUCUGGUGUCGUGUGACUGGUCUGGUGUCGUGGUAAAGGGGUGUGUGACAGGUCUGGUGUUGUGUGACAGGUCUGGUGUCGUGGUAAAGGGGUGUGUGACAGGUCUGGUGGCGUGUGACAGGUCUGGUGGCGUGUGACAGGUCUGGUGGCGUGUGACAGGUCUGGUGGCGUGUGACUGGUCUGGUGGCGUGUGACUGGUCUGGUGGCGUGUGACUGGUCUGGUGGCGUGUGACUGGUCUGGUGGCGUGUGACUGGUCUGGUGUCGUGGUAAAGGGGUGUGUGACUGGUCUGGUGGCGUGUGACUGGUCUGGUGUUGUGACAGGUCUGGUGGCGUGUGACAGGUCUGGUGGCGUGUGACAGGUCUGGUGGCGUGUGACUGGUCUGGUGGCGUGUGACAGGUCUGGUGGCGUGUGACUGGUCUGGUGGCGUGUGACUGGUCUGGUGGCGUGUGACUGGUCUGGUGGCGUGUGACUGGUCUGGUGGCGUGUGACUGGUCUGGUGGCGUGUGACAGGUCUGGUGGCGUGUGACAGGUCUGGUGGCGUGUGACAGGUCUGGUGGCGUGUGACUGGUCUGGUGGCGUGUGACAGGUCUGGUGGCGUGUGACAGGUCUGGUGGCGUGUGACAGGUCUGGUGGCGUGUGACAGGUCUGGUGGCGUGUGACUGGUCUGGUGGCGUGUGACUGGUCUGGUGGCGUGUGACUGGUCUGGUGGCGUGUGACAGGUCUGGUGGCGUGUGACAGGUCUGGUGGCGUGUGACAGGUCUGGUGGCGUGUGACUGGUCUGGUGGCGUGUGACUGGUCUGGUGGCGUGUGACUGGUCUGGUGGCGUGGUAAAGGGGUGUGUGACUGGUCUGGUGGCGUGUGACUGGUCUGGUGGCGUGUGACUGGUCUGGUGUCGUGGUAAAGGGGUGUGUGACAGGUCUGGUGUCGUGUGACAGGUCUGGUGUCGUGAUGUGACAGGUCUGGUGUCGUGGUAAAGGGGUGUGUGACAGGUCUGGUGUCGUGGUAAAGGGGUGUGUGACAGGUCUGGUGUCGUGGUA